rnacentral:tRNA from 1 species
GAGGGUAUAGCUCAGUGGUAAAGUGCAUGCUUAGCAUGCAUGAGGUCCUGGGUUCAAUCCCCAAUACUGCCA